rnacentral:rRNA from 1 species
UACAGAGGUCUCAAGCGUUGUUCGGAUUCAUUGGGCGUAAAGGGUGCGUAGGCGGCGCGGUAAGUCGGGUGUGAAAUCUUGGAGCUUAACUCCGAAACUGCAUUCGAUACUGCCGUGCUUGAGGACUGGAGAGGAGACUGGAAUUUACGGUGUAGCGGUGAAAUGCGUAGAUAUCGUAAGGAAGACCAGUGGCGAAGGCGGGGUCUCUGGACAGUUCCUGACGCUGAGGCACGGAAGGCCCAGGGGGAGCAAAACGGGG